AUUGGAUGCUUGCCUUCAGAAAUCGAGAAGUUCGGUUACGGACUCUGAGCACCCACUGAGCAAUUACAAAGGAGUAUGGUAAACACUCAGAACGUGGUCCUUGCUGAGCAGUGACGAUCUUGACUCCCGGGAGGGCAUAGCGUACUGGCACGAAUUGGCACGAAUGCUGGACUUUGAAGCUGAAGAUAAGACCUGGACUCCUGGAUCAACAGGGAGUGGUGCUAACACUUGCUCUGUCCAGCUGACCCGGCUACUUUGAGGCAAAAGAAGUAGGGGGUCAAUGAAAAGUAAUUGAGAUACUGCAUGAUAUUAUAAGGAGUCCACGAGUACAAGGCGGGGUCGGAUAAAGCCGCGUUUGCCAGGAAAUGAGGUUUUUGGCAGCAGAAACACCAGUCUGAAUCGUGCAGGGUAACGGCUCCACGCGGGUGUGAGAGAAUCUGCUUCUGUGGGAACUCAACCUGAGAUACCAGAUAAUCGUACGUUGAUCUGUGACUUCAUGGGGUGGCUUAUCAGUCCAGGCCACUCAGAAGGCACUGCGGACUAACCUGAAUCCCAUAGCAGCGUUGAUAAGACCCUUCAGCAUCAGGCCGCCGCUCACUGCCAGCCUCACCUCUCCCCAGGACGGUCUUCACUGCACCCUCCCGCCUGACCUCUGUGUACCAGUUAAGCUCGGUGACUUGCAGUUCUUGGAAUGUAUUUCAAUCCUCAGGCCUCUGGCGCCGGGCCAUGUUCUCUCUGUGCCAGCAGCACCCUUCCCCUCCAUUCACUGGUCUACCUCCCACCUGCCUUCAAGGCUUCAACCUUCCUUGACCGCCCCCCACAAGCAUGCACCCCAGCUGGGUGGCCCAUCCCUCUUACGUGCUCCCAGACAGCUCUGCUCUCAUAUGGCCCACCUUCUCCCACCGCACUGUAAGCUCCGUGAUGCGGGAAGCCUAGCUUCCUUACCUUCAAAGCCUGAAGCCUAGUCCCCUAGCUACACGGUUUUGAGUAAAUGCUUGAUGAAUUAAUGGGGAAAAAGUAGUAAGUGGACAAAGCUUUUAAUUUUGGAAAUGGACUAAAACAAUUCCUCUAACACAAAGUAAAAUGGACUGAGCAUCGUGAGAAAAGUCGAAACCACUCUGCAGCCUUCCAGAAUGGAGAGAAGACAGCCAUUCCUUCCCAUCCAUGAGUUCUAGAGGCUGUGAAGUUCAAGAGCAAGGUGUCGACAGAUUCGGUGUCUGGAAAAUAAAAAGUUGAAAGGAAUAAAAGCCCAACAUGGUUUGAAGAAACACCCUCGAAAGCAGAUUCAGAUGCGCUCUGUGGGUCGCGGCAGUGAGUGGCCCGGUACGGAAGCCACACUGAUCGGAGUCUCUGGGUUGUCCAGUGUUCCUCAGAUAACAGCUCCCUCAGCUUAACCUGCAGCCCGGCAGCCUCCCAGCUGGAACCCUGGGCGCCUGCUGCUGGAAGCAAGGACAAAACAAAUCCCCAGCGACUAACUGGCUCCUAAAACAAGAGAGGAGCUGGAAUUUUUUCUUUAGUGUUUGUGAGCACCUUGCUCUGACCUUGGGCAUCCAUCUCCUCUCCCAGGACAGAGGCCUGGGAAGGUUCUGGGAACCAGAGAUGAUGUGUGGACGGCAAGGAUGAAAUCCCUGUUGUCGAAGAUGACUGAACGGCGUGCCGAUUCUUCUGGGGUGCUAGAGCACCUGUCCCCCUCUGUUUUGCUUCUGUGUGCCCUGAACAGAGUGGAGGAUGGUGGAGCGAGGAGGGAAGUGUCUACACAGAAAAAAAAGGACCCAAGUCUUGGACCCAGAAAAUCCAACGGAUCAAGUGGUCUUGGCAAGAAUCCGGGAUUAGAAAAAGGAAGACUCCCCCUUCGCUGCCUGAGACUGUAGGUCCUUGAAUUCCGUUGACUCAUGCGAGACAAGAUGGGGGAUUUUUCUGCAGCAGUUGCCACGUGGGAAAACAGAUCACUGUCAGUUGCUGAGGUCUUCUUGUUGCUUUCUCUGGCAGAGGAACAUUUAUUUAUCACAGGAGAGGCUGGCUCUGAAAGGAUUCAGGCAAACUUUCUUCUGGAGAUGAAAACAUGUCAUCCCUCGCCUGUGCCAUCUACUGAAAACCCUUCCAAACCAAAAGCUAGUGACUGUCCUGAUGGACAGAUGUCAUCCCAAGCAGGCAUGGAUCAUUGUGUUUGUUUUUCUCGCUAACCCUGCACGACUUUGAACCCACUCUGUAAAUAAAAGAGACAGGAGCACAAAACUCUUUACACUUCCUGCCUUCCUCCCAGUGUGCUGACAUUUCAAAGCCCCAUAUGUUUCUCUCAACAGAAUUUCAUGAAAAUACAUAUUAAAAAUAAAAACAGUUUUUCAGUUAUUUCAACCCAAGAGAAGAAAGGCUGCCUGGGGCUGUGAGGGGCAGUUUACAGGAUGAUGUGAUCGUCUCUCCCCCUUUUAAUGCCAGCAGGCACAUCUGAAAGGCUUAAAAUGGAGAUGUGCUUGAAGAUGUGCGACCAGUGUAUGCUUCUUCACUUACCCAUGCACGUUAGAAAUAUUCUGCACUAAGCCACAAGCAGGAUACAGUUUUAAUAAAUAUUUCCCAUUGAAAAAUGAAAACUGGAUAGAGUUUAAAACACAUCAGACUCCUUAAGAGUUGGAAUAGACAUUUGCUCGUUACCUCCCCCGCAUGGAUUCUUCCUCUCCCCACUUUGAUUUUCCUUGGGGAUACACCCCUCUUCCAUUCUCACUGGUGCUCAAGAUGGGAUUGAUCUGGCCCCCAGCUCCAGGAAUGGACUAUAAUUGGUUCAAGCCGAUCAUGGAUCCCAUUCCUCAGGCCACAGAGUGUGGUCAGGAAUGAGCUCGUGAUCCAAUUUGGGCCAAUGAUUCAUAGCGAUAAACGCCUACAUUUGGAAAAAAAAAAGCUCAAAUAAACGACAUAACUAUACCUCUAGGAACUAGAAGAAGAAGAAAGGAAGCCCAAAAUCAGCAGAAGGAAGGAAAUAACGAAGAUCAGAAUGGGAAUUAUAAAUGAAGCAGAGUUUAACAAGACAAUGGGGGGAAAUCAGCGAAAUGAAGAGCUGCUUUUUGAAAAGAGAAACAAAAUUGACAAAACUUUAGCUCGACUUACCAAGAAAAAAAGAAAGGACUCAAAUAAAUAAAAUCAAAAAUGAAACAGGAGACAUUACAACUAAUACCACAGAAAUACAAAGAAUCAUAAGAGACUAAACAAUUGUAUGCCAGCAAAUUAGACAAUCUUGAAGAAAUGCACAAAUACCUGAAAGCAUACAACCAACCAAGACGGAAUCAUGAAGAAACAGAAAAUCUGAACAGGUCUAUUGCUAGUAAAGAGAUUGAAUUAGUAAUCAAAAAUCUACCAACAAAGAAAAGUCCAGGAAAAGGAGGCUUCACUGGUGAAUUCUACCAAACAUUUGAAGAAUUAAUACCAAGCCUUCUCACACCCUUCCAAUUUGCACCAGUGACAGAGGUGACAAUCACUGGACCUGUAUGCAAAGUUCUACCGCUUCUCUGUCCCUGGAUCACGCCCAUUGUGGGGUGAGGAUGUGAGGUGAGGAACAGCCAGGGCAAUUUGCUCCCCUGGGGGGAGAGACCCCAGAGUUGCCAGGAGCCUUUGUGUGGAAUCUGGGGAUAAAACUGCCACCACUUUGAAAACUGGAGAGACUGUAAGAGCCAGAUCUUCGGUGGCUUAGACUCACCUGAAGC